rnacentral:rRNA from 1 species
UACAGAGGGUGCGAGCGUUAAUCGGAGUUACUGGGCGUAAAGGGCGCGUAGGCGGUAAGAGUAGUGGUAUGUGAAAGCCCCGGGCUUAACCUGGGAAGUGCAUAUCAAACUGACUUGCUAGAGUAUAAGAGAGGGUGGCGGAAUUUCCGGUGUAGCAGUGAAAUGCGUAGAGAUCGGAAGGAACGUCGAUGGCGAAGGCAGCCACCUGGCUUAAUACUGACGCUGAGGCGCGAAAGCGUGGGGAGCGAACAGG